UAUUAUCAUAGCUCCAGCUGCCUCCAC
rnacentral:piRNA from 1 species